GAGGAAGGUGGGGAUGACGUCAAGUCAUCAUGGCCCUUACGACCAGGGCUACACACGUGCUACAAUGGCGCAUACAAAGAGAAGCGACCUCGCGAGAGCAAGCGGACCUCAUAAAGUGCGUCGUAGUCCGGAUUGGAGUCUGCAACUCGACUCCAUGAAGUCGGAAUCGCUAGUAAUCGUGGAUCAGAAUGCCACGGUGAAUACGUUCCCGGGCCUUGUACACACCGCCCGUCACACCAUGGGAGUGGGUUGCAAAAGAAGUAGGUAGCUUAACCUUCGGGAGGGCGCUUACCACUUUGUGAUUCAUGACUGGGGUGAAGUCGUAACAAGGUA
rnacentral:rRNA from 1 species